rnacentral:misc_RNA from 1 species
GAUGAAGAACGCAGUGAAAUGCGAUAAGUAAUGUGAAUUGCAGAAUUCAGUGAAUCAUCGAAUCUUUGAACGCACAUUGCGCCCCCUGGUAUUCCGGGGGGCAUGCCUGUUCGAGCGUCAUUACAACCCUCAAGCUCUGCUUGGUGUUGGGCCCCGCCGCCCCGGCGGGCCCUAAAAUCAGUGGCGGUGCCGUCCGGCUCCGAGCGUAGUAAUUCUUCUCGCUCUGGAGGUCCGGGUGUGUGCUCGCCAGCAACCCCCAAUUUUUUUCAGGUUGACCUCGGAUCAGGUAGGGAUACCCGCUGAACUUAAGCAUAUCAAUAAGCGGAGGA